UUAAGCGACUAAGCGUACACGGUGGAUGCCCUGGCAGUCAGAGGCGAUGAAGGACGUGCUAAUCUGCGAAAGCGCCGGCGAGGUGAUAUGAACCUUUGACCCGGCGAUGUCCGAAUGGGGAAACCCAGUGUGAUUCGUCACACUAUCGUUAACUGAAUACAUAGGUUAACGAGGCGAACCGGGGGAACUGAAACAUCUAAGUACCCCGAGGAAAGAAAUCAACCGAGAUUCCCCCAGUAGCGGCGAGCGAACGGGGAGCAGCCCGGAGUCUGAAUCAGCUUGUGUGUUAGUGGAACGGUCUGGAAAGUCCGACGGUACAGGGUGAUAGUCCCGUACACGAAAAUGCACAGGUUGUGAACUCGAAGAGUAGGGCGGGACACGUGGUAUCCUGUCUGAAUAUGGGGGGACCAUCCUCCAAGGCUAAAUACUCCUGACUGACCGAUAGUGAACCAGUACCGUGAGGGAAAGGCGAAAAGAACCCCGGCGAGGGGAGUGAAAAAGAACCUGAAACCGUGUACGUACAAGCAGUGGGAGCCUACUUGUUAGGUGACUGCGUACCUUUUGUAUAAUGGGUCAGCGACUUAUAUUCUGUAGCAAGGUUAACCGAAUAGGGGAGCCGAAGGGAAACCGAGUCUUAACUGGGCGUUAAGUUGCAGGGUAUAGACCCGAAACCCGGUGAUCUAGCCAUGGGCAGGUUGAAGGUUGGGUAACACUAACUGGAGGACCGAACCGACUAAUGUUGAAAAAUUAGCGGAUGACCUGUGGCUGGGGGUGAAAGGCCAAUCAAACCGGGAGAUAGCUGGUUCUCCCCGAAAGCUAUUUAGGUAGCGCCUCGUGAACUCAUCUUCGGGGGUAGAGCACUGUUUCGGCUAGGGGGCCAUCCCGGCUUACCAACCCGAUGCAAACUACGAAUACCGAAGAAUGUUAUCACGGGAGACACACGGCGGGUGCUAACGUCCGUCGUGAAGAGGGAAACAACCCAGACCGCCAGCUAAGGUCCCAAAGUCAUGGUUAAGUGGGAAACGAUGUGGGAAGGCACAGACAGCCAGGAUGUUGGCUUAGAAGCAGCCAUCAUUUAAAGAAAGCGUAAUAGCUCACUGGUCGAGUCGGCCUGCGCGGAAGAUGUAACGGGGCUAAACCAUGCACCGAAGCUGCGGCAGCGACACUAUGUGUUGUUGGGUAGGGGAGCGUUCUGUAAGCCGUUGAAGGUGGCCUGUGAGGGUUGCUGGAGGUAUCAGAAGUGCGAAUGCUGACAUAAGUAACGAUAAAGCGGGUGAAAAGCCCGCUCGCCGGAAGACCAAGGGUUCCUGUCCAACGUUAAUCGGGGCAGGGUGAGUCGACCCCUAAGGCGAGGCCGAAAGGCGUAGUCGAUGGGAAACAGGUUAAUAUUCCUGUACUUGGUGUUACUGCGAAGGGGGGACGGAGAAGGCUAUGUUAGCCGGGCGACGGUUGUCCGGUUUAAGCAUGUAGGCGGAGGUUCCAGGUAAAUCCGGUACCUUUUAACGCUGAGGUGUGAUGACGAGGCACUACGGUGCUGAAGUAACAAAUGCCCUGCUUCCAGGAAAAGCCUCUAAGCAUCAGGUAACACGAAAUCGUACCCCAAACCGACACAGGUGGUCAGGUAGAGAAUACCAAGGCGCUUGAGAGAACUCGGGUGAAGGAACUAGGCAAAAUGGUGCCGUAACUUCGGGAGAAGGCACGCUGAUAUGUAGGUGAAGCCCCUGCGGGUGGAGCUGAAAUCAGUCGAAGAUACCAGCUGGCUGCAACUGUUUAUUAAAACACAGCACUGUGCAAACACGAAAUGAAGUAUACGGUGUGACGCCUGCCCGGUGCCGGAAGGUUAAUUGAUGGGGUUAGCGGUAACGCGAAGCUCUUGAUCGAAGCCCCGGUAAACGGCGGCCGUAACUAUAACGGUCCUAAGGUAGCGAAAUUCCUUGUCGGGUAAGUUCCGACCUGCACGAAUGGCGUAAUGAUGGCCAGGCUGUCUCCACCCGAGACUCAGUGAAAUUGAACUCGCUGUGAAGAUGCAGUGUACCCGCGGCAAGACGGAAAGACCCCGUGAACCUUUACUAUAGCUUGACACUGAACACUGGUCCUUGAUGUGUAGGAUAGGUGGGAGGCUUUGAAGCGUGGACGCCAGUCUGCGUGGAGCCGACCUUGAAAUACCACCCUUUAAUGGCUGGUGUUCUAACGUAGACCCGUAAUCCGGGUUGCGGACAGUGUCUGGUGGGUAGUUUGACUGGGGCGGUCUCCUCCCAAAGAGUAACGGAGGAGCACGAAGGUUAGCUAAUCCUGGUCGGACAUCAGGAGGUUAGUGCAAUGGCAUAAGCUUGACUGCGAGAGUGACGGCUCGAGCAGGUGCGAAAGCAGGUCAUAGUGAUCCGGUGGUUCUGAAUGGAAGGGCCAUCGCUCAACGGAUAAAAGGUACUCCGGGGAUAACAGGCUGAUACCGCCCAAGAGUUCAUAUCGACGGCGGUGUUUGGCACCUCGAUGUCGGCUCAUCACAUCCUGGGGCUGAAGUAGGUCCCAAGGGUAUGGCUGUUCGCCAUUUAAAGUGGUACGCGAGCUGGGUUUAGAACGUCGUGAGACAGUUCGGUCCCUAUCUGCCGUGGGCGCUGGAGAAUUGAGGGGGGCUGCUCCUAGUACGAGAGGACCGGAGUGGACGCAUCACUGGUGUUCGGGUUGUCAUGCCAAUGGCACUGCCCGGUAGCUAAAUGCGGAAGAGAUAAGUGCUGAAAGCAUCUAAGCACGAAACUUGCCCCGAGAUGAGUUCUCCCUGAGACUUUAAGUCUCCUGAAGGAACGUUGAAGACGACGACGUUGAUAGGUCGGGUGUGUAAGCGCAGCGAUGCGUUGAGCUAACCGAUACUAAUGAACCGUGAGGCUUAACCUU
rnacentral:rRNA from 1 species